rnacentral:rRNA from 1 species
AAAAAAUCCGAGGGCCUCUGGGUCCACCUCCCACCCGUGUUUAUCGUACCUUGUUGCUUCGGCGGGCCCGCCUCACGGCCGCCGGGGGGCAUCCGCCCCCGGGCCCGCGCCCGCCGAAGACACACAAACGAACUCUUGUCUGAAGAUUGCAGUCUGAGUACUUGACUAAAUCAGUUAAAACUUUCAACAACGGAUCUCUUGGUUCCGGCAUCGAUGAAGAACGCAGCGAAAUGCGAUAAGUAAUGUGAAUUGCAGAAUUCAGUGAAUCAUCGAGUCUUUGAACGCACAUUGCGCCCCCUGGUAUUCCGGGGGGCAUGCCUGUCCGAGCGUCAUUGCUGCCCUCAAGCACGGCUUGUGUGUUGGGCUCUCGCCCCCCGCUUCCGGGGGGCGGGCCCGAAAGGCAGCGGCGGCACCGCGUCCGGUCCUCGAGCGUAUGGGGCUUCAUCACCCGCUCUGUAGGCCCGGCCGGCUCCCGCCGGCGAACACCAUCAAUCUUAACCAGGUUGACCUCGGAUCAGGUAAGGAUACCCGCUGAAUUUUAAACAUAUCAUAA